CUCUUUUUUCAUUAAAAAAGCAGAAGAGGGAGAAGAAAGCAAGCUGAGCCUUGACCUUACACCUCACAGCUAUGGAAAAGCACCAUUCUGUUCUAAAUCGAGGAGAAAUGAAGCAUAGACAAAUUGAUGAUCACUUAAGUACACAAAUCCGCAGAAAGGCAACGUCUUCUAGUGGAAGAAAUAAAAUUGUUAACAUUUUUGGAUGAGACUACAGUCUGAAGUUCAGAUUAUGGUUCUUCUAUUAUUUUGGACAAGCUGU